rnacentral:rRNA from 1 species
GACAGAGGGGGCAAGCGUUGCUCGGAAUUACUGGGCGUAAAGGGCGCGUAGGCGGGAUGGCAAGUCGGUCGUGAAAUCCCUCGGCUCAACCGAGGAACGUCGAUCGAUACUGCUGUUCUUGAGGAUUGCAGAGGAGACUGGAAUUCCCGGUGUAGUGGUGAAAUGUGUAGAGAUCGGGAGGAACACCGGUGGCGAAGGCGACUACCUGGCCUGUUCUUGACGCUGAGGCGCGAAAGCUAGGGGAGCAAACGGG